CUGAACCCGGCUAAAUGCAAAAUUGUUUGGACGGUUCUACCUGCUUCCAUCCCUAUUUAGUAGGAGCGGGCCACAUAUAUACAUGCAUUGAGGUACAAGUAAGCAAAGGUUCAAGACCAAAGAGUCAAACAAUGAAAAAUAGAGAAACUUUACCCUUUAUGAACAGAAAACUAAGACUCCUCUUUUUUUAAGUAGGCAUAAAGAGAAAGUCACGAUGCAUUUGCUAUGCGUAUGAGAAAACAAAAGCUUAACAAAAGAAUGACUAAAAUUCACACUCCAACCUUGGUCUUUUUGUAGGUUGUUUGAGCAAAAUUGUAUGCUCCUGAUGCCGCUCGACAUAAUGUAGGUUCUGAAAGCAUUUCUCAUAUGUCUGCACAAUUCAUUUUAAAAACAAAAGUCUUGUUUUAGCAGAGUUGCUGAAAGACCAAUCAUCCAGUCCAAGGCAUUGAUCAAAAUGAAAAC
rnacentral:lncRNA from 1 species